rnacentral:rRNA from 1 species
AUUGAACGCUGGCGGCAUGCUUUACACAUGCAAGUCGAACGGUAACAGGGUGCUUGCACCGCUGACGAGUGGCGAACGGGUGAGUAAUGCGUCGGAACGUGCCGAGUAGUGGGGGAUAACGCAGCGAAAGUUGUGCUAAUACCGCAUACGUACUGAGGUAGAAAGUGGGGGACCUUCGGGCCUCAUGCUAUUCGAGCGGCCGACGUCGGAUUAGCUAGUAGGUGAGGUAAAGGCUCACCUAGGCGACGAUCAGUAGCGGGUCUGAGAGGAUGAUCCGCCACACUGGGACUGAGACACGGCCCAGACUCCUACGGGAGGCAGCAGUGGGGAAUUUUGGACAAUGGGCGAAAGCCUGAUCCAGCCAUGCCGCGUGUCUGAAGAAGGCCUUCGGGUUGUAAAGGACUUUUGUCAGGGAGGAAAUCCCUAGUGCUAAUAACACUGGGGGAUGACAGUACCUGAAGAAUGAGCACCGGCUAACUACGUGCCAGCAGCCGCGGUAA